GGGAAUGCGACGGCAUAUUACUAGACGCAAAUCACCAGCUUUGAGUGAACUGAUGUAUAUUCUGCGGGCACUCGUGUCUGGUUGGUGUGCAAAAAACUCAUUCCGGCUAAAUCCUUACAACUUGCAGUUGAACGACACCUGCAACAAACAAGUCGAUGAAGCUAAUAGUGGUUAUGGAUCAGGAAGAUAUUCGCACAAGGAUUGCUCUGACCAAUACCGGUACCAAUGGGUAAGUUUGGGCCUUUCAGCUCCUACCCAUGGCGCCUGCUGACAUGUUCCAACCUUCAACCGCAGUGGGGAAUCUGGUUCACCUUCUUCUUAACAGUCAUUAUCCUCCUCCUCGAGAUUUUCGGCAAGGCGGAUGCAUGGAGUGUCACAUUACAGGUGUGCAUCGCCAAGUGCAACCUCG
rnacentral:lncRNA from 1 species